AGAGUUUGAUCCUGGCUCAGAUUGAACGCUGGCGGCAUGCCUAACACAUGCAAGUCGAACGGCAGCACGGCAGUAGCAAUACUGUGGGUGGCGAGUGGCGGACGGGUGAGGAAUACGUCGGAAUCUGCCCAGUCGUGGGGGAUAACUAGCCGAAAGGUUAGCUAAUACCGCAUACGACCGAGAGGUGAAAGCGGGGGACCGCAAGGCCUCGCGCGAUUGGAUGAGCCGACGUCGGAUUAGCUAGUUGGUGGGGUAAAGGCCCACCAAGGCGACGAUCCGUAGCUGGUCUGAGAGGAUGAUCAGCCACACUGGAACUGAGACACGGUCCAGACUCCUACGGGAGGCAGCAGUGGGGAAUAUUGGACAAUGGGCGCAAGCCUGAUCCAGCAAUGCCGCGUGUGUGAAGAAGGCCUUCGGGUUGUAAAGCACUUUUAUCAGGAACGAAAAGCGUUGGAUUAAUACUCUGACGUGCUGACGGUACCUGAGGAAUAAGCACCGGCUAACUUCGUGCCAGCAGCCGCGGUAAUACGAAGGGUGCAAGCGUUAAUCGGAAUUACUGGGCGUAAAGCGUGCGUAGAUGGUUCGCUAAGUCGGAUGUGAAAGCCCCGGGCUCAACCUGGGAACUGCAUCCGAUACUGGCGGACUAGAGUGUGAUAGAGGAUGGCGGAAUUCCCGGUGUAGCGGUGAAAUGCGUAGAGAUCGGGAGGAACAUCCGUGGCGAAGGCGGCCAUCUGGAUCAACACUGACGUUGAGGCACGAAAGCGUGGGGAGCAAACAGGAUUAGAUACCCUGGUAGUCCACGCCCUAAACGAUGUCGACUGGAUGUUGGGUGCAACUUGGCACUCAGUAUCGAAGCUAACGCGUUAAGUCGACCGCCUGGGGAGUACGCGCGCAAGCGUGAAACUCAAAGGAAUUGACGG
rnacentral:rRNA from 1 species